rnacentral:rRNA from 1 species
GUUUGACCUCAGAUCAGGUAGGAAUACCCGCUGAACUUAAGCAUAUCAAUAAGCGGAGGAAAAGAAACCAACAGGGAUUGCCUCAGUAACGGCGAGUGAAGCGGCAUCAGCUCAAAUUUGGAAUCUGGCUUCUUUGAAGUCCGAGUUGUAAUUUGUAGAGGAAACUUUGGUGCGGUCUUAGUCUAAGUUCCUUGGAACAGGACAUCACAGAGGGUGAGAAUCCCGUAUGUGGCUAGAGACUUUAACCAUGUAAAGUUCCUUCGACGAGUCGAGUUGUUUGGGAAUGCAGCUCUAAAUGGGAGGUAAAUUUCUUCUAAAGCUAAAUAUUGGCCAGAGACCGAUAGCGAACAAGUAGAGUGAUCGAAAGAUGAAAAGCACUUUGGAAAGAGAGUUAAAUAGUAUGUGAAAUUGUUGAAAGGGAAGCGCUUGUAAUCAGACUUGUUUAUAGGAGUUCAACUUGGCUUUUGUCUUGUGUACUCUCCUAUAUACAGGCUAGCAUCAGUUUGGAUGGUAGGAUAAAGAUGUUGGGAAUGUAGCUUCUUUUCUUUGGGAUUGAAGUGUUAUAGCCCGAUGUGUCAUACUAUCAAUCUGGACUGAGGAACGCACUUUAUUGUAUGGAUGCUGGCGUAAUGGUUAUAAGCGGCCCGUCUUGAAACACGGACCAAGGAGUCUAACAUCUAUGCGAGUGUUUGGGUGUCAAGCCCGCACGCGUAAUGAAAGUAAAUGGAGGUGGGAACCCCUUGGGGUGCACCAUCGACCGAUCCUGAUGUCUUCGGAUGG